rnacentral:rRNA from 1 species
CCUACGGGUGGCAGCAGUGAGGAAUAUUGGUCAAUGGCCGAGAGUCUGAACCAGCCAAGUCGCGUGAAGGAAGACGGCCCUACGGGUUGUAAACCUCUUUUGUCUGGGAGCAAAGAGAGUCACGUGUGACUCUUUGAGAGUACCCGAAGAAAACGCAUCAGUUAACUCCGUGCCAGCAGCCGCGGUAAUACGGAGGAUGAGAGCGUUAUCCGGAUUUAUUGGGUUUAAAGGGUGCGCAGGAGGAGGUGGAAGUCAGCGGGAAAAUUUGGGGGCUCAACCCCGUACUGCCGUUGACACUGCAACCCUUGAGUGCACGAGAUGUAUGCGGAAGGCGUGGUGGAGCGGUGAAAUGCAUAGAUAUCACGAAGAACUCCGAUUGCGAAGGCAGCUGACCGGCGCGCAACUGACACUCAUGCACGAAAGCGUGGGUAUCGAACAGGAUUAGAUACCCCUGUAGUC